UGAAGAGCUUGCUUUUCAAAGUUAGUGGCGGACGGGUGAGUAACGCGUGGGUAACCUGCCUCAUACAGGGGAAUAGCAGCUGGAAACGGCUGAUAAAACCGCAUAAGCGCACAGUGCCGCAUGGCACAGUGUGAAAAACUCCGGUGGUAUGAGAUGGACCCGCGUCUGAUUAGCUUGUUGGCGGGGUAACGGCCCACCAAGGCGACGAUCAGUAGCCGGCCUGAGAGGGUGAUCGGCCACAUUGGGACUGAGACACGGCCCAAACUCC
rnacentral:rRNA from 1 species